AAGAAUGAGUAUGAGGGAAGGGCUUUAUUGGUCUUUAAAUGCCUGAGCUGUUCCGCCUCGCACUCUACACUUUGAGACGACAGCUUUUCACCUGGACCCCUCUGCAUUGUGGAUUGAACUGUUCUAUUCCCCAUGAACAUACAAGGACCUCGCACCAAAGGACAUAAGAAAA